rnacentral:rRNA from 1 species
GACGAACGCUGGCGGCGUGCCUAAUACAUGCAAGUAGAACGCACAGUUUAUACCGUAGCUUGCUACACCAUAGACUGUGAGUUGCGAACGGGUGAGUAACGCGUAGGUAACCUGCCUGGUAGCGGGGGAUAACUAUUGGAAACGAUAGCUACUACCGCAUAAUAUUAAUUAUUGCAUGAUAAUUAAUUGAAAGGUGCAAUUGCACCACUACCAGAUGGACCUUCGUUGUAUUAGCUAGUAGGUGAGGUAACGGCUCACCUAGGCGACGAUACAUAGCCGACCUGAGAGGGUGAUCGGCCACACUGGGACUGAGACACGGCCCAGACUCCUACGGGAGGCAGCAGGAGGGAAACUUCGGCAAUGGACGGAAGUCUGACCGAGCAACGCCGGGGGAGUGAAGAAGGGUUUCGGAUCGUAAAGCUCUGUUGUAAGAGAAGAACGGGUGUGAGAGUGGAAAGUUCACACUGUGACGUUAUCUUACCAGAAAGGGACGGCUAACUACGUG